rnacentral:rRNA from 1 species
GGAAUAUUGGACAAUGGGGGCAACCCUGAUCCAGCGACGCCGCGUGGGUGAAGAAGGCCUGCGGGUUGUAACGCCCUUUCGGUGGGGAAGAAAAGCCUCGACCUAAUACGUCGGGGUCUUGACGUAACCCACAAAAGAAGCACCGGCUAACUCUGUGCCAGCAGCCGCGGUAAUACGGAGGGUGCGAGCGUUAAUCGGAAUUACUGGGCGUAAAGCGCGCGUAGGCGGUUUGUUAAGUCAGCUGUGAAAGCCCCGGGCUCAACCUGGGAACUGCAGUUGAUACUGGCCGACUAGAGUACGAGAGAGGGAGGUAGAAUUCCAUGUGUAGCGGUGAAAUGCGUAGAUAUAUGGAGGAAUACCGGUGGCGAAGGCGGCCUCCUGGCUCGAUACUGACGCUGAGGUGCGAAAGCGUGGGGAUCAAAC